UGAGCACUCUGUCGUCGUUGCAUGCCUGCUCUUUUACAUCUCGCAACGUAGUGUUUGACUUUCGGUUGGCGGCUGCACUGCCACACGAUCUCUGCGUGUCUCGCGCGCUAUGCGUGCGUCAAACGGUGGUGGAAAUCAUCGACGUAGAGGACAGAAGGAAGGAAGACACGGUACCACGGCUUCACGUGCUCUGCGGCUUCGCCGUACAAGGGGGACGGCACAAAGCCACAAGAGGAGGGCGCACCGCAGAAACGAAACACACACACACACACACACGCACUUAAAAGCAAGGAGAACGGAGCACUGCGCUCCUUUCCGACACGACAACAGCACCACACACUGUCGGUGUGCUCUUUCUCCCUCUCUCUGAUACAGGUCUCAAUCGCUAAUUCCAUAGGAGUGAGUAAGGGGGAGAACGCUGGAAGGCGAACUCGCUUGUGUGCUCCCCUAAUCCGGUAGAAGGCGUGUGAAACCAUCUGGGUCGUCUUCCGGUGCCUCACGGUCUUCCUGUUUAUCUCACCCCCUACACUUUGCGUUCACCUUGAGGAGUCUGCGAAAGCAAACGAAAGCAAGAGAGGCAAGCAGCGAGGUGAGCGAUCCGACACCGGUCUCUCUUUCCCCCCUCCACGCACGGGGGCGCCUCUCCCGAUCGCCUGUUGGCCUGUUGCUUUUCUUUUAGUGCUGCAGGUGUUGAGUUCACGCCCAUUCCCCCCCCCCCCCCCCCCCGGCUUUCUCUUCGUCAAGAGAUGGCGACUGCCAAAGACGCGAGCAACCACAUUCGGCUCGACACCGCCUUUGAGCUGAACAUCGGUGCUCCCAUCCUACCGGACCGCGUCGCGGCAGGCCGAUUUCUGCGCAGUGCCGCUGCCCGUGAGGCUAGUGCAAGCGCGCAGACACUAGCCGUACGCCCACCACCCUCGGCCGUGUCACUGGCCUUCGGCAGCAGCGGUCAGCGGAUUCUUCUGCACAACAACAACACCAGCACCGCGAAAGCCAAGCGCUCCGCUAAGCGAGGAGAGGCACAAGCGAGCGUCGGCGUCACGUUCAGGCUGGAGGAUGAUGAGUCUGUCAUCCAGACACUGAACUUUGGGAAGGCCCCGACAGCAUUGGCAGCAGGCCAACUCUAUGACACUUGGAGCACCGAUAUCGCUGCCACGUAUGAUGUGCUUCUUUUCGGUGCUGCAACGAGCCUACUGGCGUACGAUGCGGAGCAGAACAAGCAGGUCUUCUAUAAAGACGUGGAGGAUGGGGUGCAGGCAGUGGUGUGCGGCACUGUCAUGAAGCCGAGUAGCACCUCUGGAGAAGCGCCGCCGUUGGCCGUCGUUGGCGGUAACUGCAGCAUAUUCGGCUUCGACCGUUUCGGCGCCGAGCGGUACUGGACAGUGACAGGCGACCAGGUGACGGCCAUGGCCCUCAUGCCGUGGACCUCGGUACCGGAUUCGGGAUCGGCUCCCCUGUCGCUGCUCGUAGCCUCUGAUGAUUUUGAGGUGCGCGUGUACGAUGGCGAGGAGGCGAUCGCGACGGUGCACGAGGUGGACCGAGUGCAGAAGCUCGUACCUCUGUGGCAGCCGUCACGAAUCCCAGACACGGAGGCUGCCGCCGCUGACAGCGCUGGCCGGUAUGCCUACUUGCUCGAGAACGGAACCGUUGGCAUGUACGAGCGCGGUGAGCGCGUGUGGCGAGUGAGGGGCAAGUCUGUGCCUGUGUCCGCCGCCUUCUGCGACGUGGACGGCGACGGCGUGGCCGAGUUGGUGAUUGGGUGGAGCAACGGGCGGGUGGAGGUGCGCACGGAUCGCGGCGGCGGGUUGGAGAAGGGCGGUAGCGUGCUCUUCCGAGACACCUACUCCAGCGCCGUGGCAGCAGUUCUUUCGGAAGACUAUCGGCAGGACGGCAUGCCUCUGCCUGUCAUCUGCACUGUGGAUGGCACCGUGCGUGGAUUGGCGCUGCUCGAGACGCGAAAAGACGAGGCUGCUGAGGUGCGUCAGCUACAGGUGUUGGAGGCGCUUGUGCAGGAGAAGCAGCAGCUGGCCGCCCAACUCACCAGCCUUGAGGAGCAGCUGGCUCGCCGGGCUGCUGGGGCGCAGGACACAACGAUGCCAGAGUCGGGGGUGGAGGUGCGUUGUUGCUGCUCUGCCAACCUUGCGACGAAGCACGUUGAGGUUCGUGUGGAAGUGACGGGGCCAGCGGCGAAGCGCGGCGACAUUGUUGUGCAUAGCUGUCUCCUGCAGUGUGAGGUAUGGGCCACCGCAGCGCAGCAGGACACCGUAGCCUUUGCGAAUGCGGAGCCCAGCGCCACACUCGUGUGCAGCUUUGCCCACCCUGAUGACCUUCCGCUGAACGUCAGCGCCUCGGUGGCUGUAGGUCCAGCAUUUGGCGAUAGCUACCAGAUACACGAGGUUACCGUCAGGGUUCCCCGCUUCAUGAUGUACCAGCUACCCUACAAAAUUCCUCCAGAGCAGCAGCGUCAGCGGCAGGGCGAGACAGUCGCCUACCGGCCGCCCAAUGGCUGCGUGCUACUACAGUGGCGUGAGUUGCUCCAUCUUGACGUGAUUGAGAGGUGGCUGCGGCAUUCCUUCUGCGUACCGGAGGAUGUCGCGCUGCUUGACGCUAACGCGCCGACUGACCAGGUGCUUCACUUGGAGCUCAUUCACGUCCGCGACGGCAGCAGCUUUGGCAUCGAGGUGCGCAACGCUGCUGCGUCGGGCGCGGCCUUCAACACCAUUACGCUGUGGUCUGACCACUUGGCGCCAUGCGGGGCGGUUAUCAAUGCCUUCGUGGAGGACUUGAAGGGUGGGUGGGCUGACGGGAAGGCGGACCCGGUCGCGGUUCGGUGCGAGAUGCCUCUCGAGCUGGAGCGGCUACGCGCGAUCUUCGCCAGGGUGGACGAGUUCAACGAGGUGCGGAUGAAACUCACGACCGACAUGGCGGAUGCAGCUACAGUCGUGAAGACACUGCUCGGGCGUGCCGAGGACGCACGGCUGCUGGGUGACAUGGCCUCUAUGAAGAAAUCGUACGCGGCGCUGUACGACGUUGAUCAGGAACUGCUCUGUGAGAAUGCGAAGCGGAUCAACAACUAUGAAGAGCUCAAGCUGGCCUUGAAGGAGGUGAACACGUGCAUCCAGCAGGCGGGAAUGGUGCGCAUUGGCCCGGCACGCGCGCAGUUGAUUGCUAGCUGCCGCAACGCCCUGAAGGAGAAUCAGGUGAACAGUCUGCUCGAGAUCAUUCGGACCGGGUCCGAGUAGAGGGCGAGAGCACGAGCGACGCCGAGGCGGCAUACCGGACGGCCUUGCGUUCGUGUGUGUGUGUGUUGUCUGCCCAUCUCCGCUCCUUGCGAUGCUGGCGCUUUAUCCUAUCUGCCGUUUCCUCGGAAGGCUGAUGCGCUCCCAAACCGAGCCCUUUUCUCUGCACCCACACAGGGGGGUUCAUGCGUGCCGUGAGGCGCAUACCGCACUCAUUGUGCCGUUUCAGCUCGAUAUCGUCGCUGUCGUGUUGUCGUCCCUAUCGGCGUGUGACUCUCUCCUCCUCCUCCCUCUUUCUCCGCCGAAGCGGUGCAACACCAGUCAACCAGUGAUUUCAGUGUACUCUUUUCCCUGGGCUCCGUGGAUGUGUGAUGACGGAUGCCAUCACCGCUGCUUGCCGUGAGCAGCUGUGCGAUGUCUUCCAUCUUGUCCGUUCUUCCACCUCGGCCUCGCGUGCUGCGGAGGCGGCUUUUCUCUUGGUUUGCGAGACCCCCGACGAUGGUCAGUGCACGCGCAGGCAUCGUUUAUACUUAUCAUUUUGCCUUGGUUGACAAUGUGCGCGCGUCUGCCCAUCUGGCCGCUUCUCCCUGUCGUCACCUGUGCGGCUCCUCCGCUCUGCUGCUGCUUCGACAUCUCUGCCUCCUUCUCUUUCUUUGCCACUCCUCUUCUGCCCGCAUGGCGCGGGUGUGCUACAG
rnacentral:misc_RNA from 1 species